rnacentral:snRNA from 1 species
GUGCUCACUUCAGCAGCAUAUAUACUAAAAUUGGAAUGAUACAGAGAAGAUUAGCAUGGCCCCUGCACAAGGAUGACAUAUACAUUUGUGAAGCAUUCUGUAUUUUU